rnacentral:lncRNA from 1 species
GCCCUCCAAAAGAGAAGCCAUGGAAGGACCAGGAAGAUAGGAUACACCAGGUGUUCCCUGGGUAAGGGAUCACUGUGGAAGAGUAGAAAUGGAGGAAGAAUUCAACAUCACCUGCACAAGGAAACACUCACUAACCGUGGCAUAUCCCUUUGAACGAUUGGUCUCCAGAUGGUGUUGAUGUUUGGGGAGACUGUGAAACCUUAUGGAAGUGGAACCUGGCUGGCUGAGUGAACUUUUGAAGUUAUAGUGAAGUCUUGGUUCUGGCAUUGCUCUCUCUGAUUCCUGAUGUGACAUGGCAUUAACAUGUCAUCUUGCAAGCUCCUCUCACUACAGACGGAGCCACUGUAACUACCGUGUCUUCCUCUCCAUGAUGGAUUGUACCUUCUAAGGGUGAAGACCAUGGAGACCAGGGUCAUCUGCCUAAUUAUACAAAGGGGGCUCUGAUGGGGAAUGUACUGUUUGUUUAUCUUAUUGAUUGUUAAAUAAAGUUCUGUUUGGCCAAUGAGACAGCAAGUUAGACAGGACUAGGAGUCAAAGAGGAUUCCGGGAAAUGUAGUAGAGAAGUGGUGAUCCAGGCCGGAAGUGACAUAGCAAGGAGAUUCAUAUAAGCAAGGAGAAACAGGAAGUGUCCUUUUUCCCCUGCGCUCUUCCGGCAGGGAGGGACGCCAAUAAGGCGUCUGAUAAGAUAAGUCUUAUAAAAUAUAUAGAUUUAUGAUAAUUAAGACUGAGCUAACAGAUGAGAAUCCUAGUCAUUGGCCAAGCAGCAUUGUACCUAAUACAAAUCUCUCUGU